rnacentral:rRNA from 1 species
UACGAACUGCGCGAACGUUAUUCGGAAUCACUGGGCUUACAGGGUGCGUAGGCGGCUUUUCAGGUCCGAUGUGAAAUCCCCCGGCUCAACCGGGGAAUGGCAUUGGAAACCGAUUGGCUGGAGUGAGCUAGAGGUGCACGGAACUUCCGGUGGAGCGGUGAAAUGUGUUGAGAUCGGAAGGAACACCAGAGGCGAAGGCGGUGCACUGGGGCUUGUCUGACGCUGAGGCACGAAAGCCAGGGGAGCGAACGGG